GAUGAACGCUGGCGGCGUGCCUAAUACAUGCAAGUCGAGCGAACAGACGAGGAGCUUGCUCCUCUGACGUUAGCGGCGGACGGGUGAGUAACACGUGGAUAACCUACCUAUAAGACUGGGAUAACUUCGGGAAACCGGAGCUAAUACCGGAUAAUAUAUUGAACCGCAUGGUUCAAUAGUGAGAGACGGUUUUGCUGUCACUUAUAGAUGGAUCCGCGCCGCAUUAGCUAGUUGGUAAGGUAACGGCUUACCAAGGCGACGAUGCGUAGCCGACCUGAGAGGGUGAUCGGCCACACUGGAACUGAGACACGGUCCAGACUCCUACGGGAGGCAGCAGUAGGGAAUCUUCCGCAAAGGGCGAAAGCCUGACGGAGCAACGCCGCGUGAGUGAUGAAGGUCUUCGGAUCGUAAAACUCUGUUAUUAGGGAAGAACAAAUGUGUAAGUAACUAUGCACGUCUUGACGGUACCUAAUCAGAAAGCCACGGCUAACUACGUG
rnacentral:rRNA from 1 species